AGGACCAUUGUCUCUUUUGUCUCAAUCCCAAAGCCUAUACCAAUCUACUUUCUCAUAUUGCCUUCCUAGCUUUAGGUCUCUCAACUUUUCUGGGUCUUUGAGGCUUGGACCCGUUGGGCAGCCCCUGAGGAUCAAGACUACACCAUUGCUCAAAAAUCCCAGGAGGCCGUCACUCUACUAUGUCAACUUGGUUGCAAUUAGGGUUGGAAGAAGAGUUGUUGAUAUUCCUCCUAGUGCUUUGGCUUUCGAUCCAAGCACCGGUGCAGGGACCAUCUUUGAUUCUGGUAUAGUCUCCGUAAAUUUUAUUUUUUAGACCUUAAUUAUUCGUAUUUAAAACUUUAUAAUUCUGUAAACGAUGUUAGUAUCAUUAAAAUUGAAGCUUAUUAAUAGUAUGCACAGCAACUAACUACAGGCGUGAAUCCCCUCAUUCAGGAACCGUAUUCACCCGGCUAGUCACGCCAGCCUACAUUGCGGUCCGUGACGCAUUCCGACAGCGAGUCGGCAACGCAACAGUAACAUCCCUAGGCGGAUUCGACACA
rnacentral:misc_RNA from 1 species